rnacentral:rRNA from 1 species
UGGGGAAUUUUGGACAAUGGGCGCAAGCCUGAUCCAGCCAUGCCGCGUGCAGGAUGCAGGCCUUCGGGUUGUAAACUGCUUUUGUACGGAGCGAAAAGGUGCCUUCUAAUAAAGGGCGCUCCUGACGGUACCGUAAGAAUAAGCACCGGCUAACUACGUGCCAGCAGCCGCGGUAAUACGAAGGGGGCUAGCGUUGUUCGGAAUUACUGGGCGGAAAGCGCACGUAGGCGGACCGAGCAGUUAGGGGUGAAAUCCCGGGGCUCAACCCCGGAACUGCCUCUAAUACUGUCGAUCUGGAGUUCGAGAGAGGUGAGUGUAAUGCCGAGUGUAGAGGUGAAAUUCGUAGAUAUUCGGAGGAACACCAGUGGCGAAGGCGGCUCACUGGCUCGAUACUGACGCUGAGGUGCGAAAGCAUGGGGAGC